GUUAAAUACUACAAGAAUAUUUUAUUUUUAAAUUUAUUUUAGUACAUAUAUUAUUUUUUUUAAUAAUAAUAAUUAAAAAAUACACAAAAUCAUGAAUAUAUACAUGAAUAUAUUCAAUUAUAACAUCAUGCCAUGCUAACAUCACCAAAAAAUAUUAACAUAUAAUAAUGCACAAUGGAGAUAUCCUUUCACACUGUUGGUGGUGUUCACUGUUGAGGGCGAAAGCCGCCUUAAAAGAUCAAAUGCUCUACGCCAGCACCUCGUUUCCUUCUUCUUUCUUUUCACAGUUUGUCAUGACCAAUGCGUGCAAGAAUCAAUUUAUGAAGCUACGGAGAAGGGGAAAAAAAACUACAAUUCAAUGUACAAGAUAUCAGUUGAAUGUAUUUUUUUGUGGCUCAAUAACAGAACCAUGACAAACUGCUAUUCUGUGCAGCUGAUCAUAUCCUGCUAGUACUCCAGCUCCUGCAAUUCCAACAAGCAUAUUUGCAGUAACUCCUCGGUAUAAUGCUGUGAAACCCUCAAGGCGAAUGAUCUCGCGAAAUGCAUGCAAGGCAUUACGAUACUUCACAGGUUGUCCAGAAGUCAGCAUCAUUCUCCGUCUCAAAGUGUCAAAGGGGUAUGCACAGACCCCGGAGACUGUGGUGAUACACCAACCCAACAGGAAACUAGCCAAGAAAUUCCCCUGCAAAAUACACAAACAUUUAGAUUACAUUAUCAGCUGUGAAAAAUGACAUCCCCCACUCUCUCUCUCAAAACCAUCAUACAACCUGAACUUCAUUCACAUUAACUGGAACUAAAAUUUUAUUACCAGUCUUCAGGAAAUAAGCCCAUGAUAUUUGAUGAACUCGAACAUGAUAGACACUUGGAUUAUAUUUUUAUGAACUUCAUCAACAGUCUCUAUCAAAUGCUCAAGAUCAUCUAACACUCAUGUUUGAUAUAGACUAUCCCCUAGAUAUCCAUGUAUUGAAGCUUAGAAUCACGCUUCAGUGAAAGGAAUCAAAAUAAGCUCUAGAUUGACGGUGAUGCGAAUUCCUUCUCUCCAUAGAUAAAAACAUUGCCAAAUUGGAUUGCAACCAAAGAUGGAGUUACUUACCUCAAAAGUUCCCACCAAAACAAUGGGCUUCAUGGUGUCAUAGAAGCCAAAAUACAUGCCACGGUACAGGGUGAUACCCAUUAUUGAAACCCCAAAUCCCCGAUAAAGGCCUACUAUUCCAUCACUUGAUAAGGUUUUACUGUAUACAUCAAGUAACCCUUUAAACUGACGUUGACCAUUAAUUGGGCACUCCCUUGCAUCAGUUCCCAGCCGGGUACGUGCAUAAUCCAAAUGAUAUAAAAGAAGCGAAGUUGUUGCCCCCGCAGCGCUACCUGAAGCCACGUUUCCAGUAAACCACUUUAUGUAACCAUCUUUCUCUUUUGAAUGUCCAAAAAGGCUUUUGAAGUAACCUUUGAAUGCAAAAUUGAAAGCCUAUGGACAAUCGAGCAUCUGUUUCAGUAAUUAGAUUAGGCAAGAUCAUAUAUAUAAACAAGACCCUGUGAUAAUAAAAAGCUCAAGGAAACAAGCAAGGUAACAAACUAAAUUGGAGAAUGAUAAACUAAAUAUUCCUCUCUAUAUGUUCUGUGGAGCAGAGUGUUGCAUAUACCAUUUCACUAGGAUCACAAACUUGCCCCUAAGGGAAUGUAUUGAUAUCUAAGCAAAGCAGAAGUAGCAGAAUUCAUGCUCAGAACUCCUUUAGAUCAGCUUGUAGAUUUAAAAUGAAGCACUAUGAGUUUGAAAAAAAAAAAUUCCAUAUUCAACAAUGGCGAUCAAUAGCUAGUACAGGCGAUCAAUAGCUAGUACAUAGUUGAUAGUCCACAAGAUGAGCGAUACCGAGAACUAAAAAGAGAAGAUUGGGAGAAUACUACAUAAGCAUACUGGGAAGAUAACAUCCAACCAUGUCUUAGAUUUGGCAAGCAAAAGCAUAUAAAAAUUUGAAUUUUAACUCAUCUCAGUUCUGCAUAGCCUUAGCCUCACUAAUCACUAUUCAUAUAGGGGUAGGAAAAAAAAAGGUCUUAAAUCCCUGUUCUUCUCUAGAUAACGGUUCCCAAGAAGCAGAACUGCCAACCAGACCUUAAGUUUUGGAACAUAACAAAAAAGUCAUCAAUACAAAACCAUUUAAGCACCCCCAUCUUCCACAUGCCAAUUUGUCAUCUUUCAAACAACUAAAAGAAUUUCUUAGAAUGCAGUGCUCUUCUCAAUAUUAAAAGAAUUUCAUCAAGGAUCCUUUUCCUUUUUUUGCCACAUGGCGCGAAUAAUGGAAAAACAGAGGGGUGGGACUCUCUCCUUUUUCCACCUCUUAUUACCUUUCCUCGCUUACUUUGGCUAUGUUUUGCCUUUGAUAGUCCUUGCUCUUUUCAGAAUGCAUGUCUUAUUCUCUCUUUAAGGACUGUUUAAUGGCAGGACAACUUAUAAAAGUUGCCAUUGGCAAUGAAAGAAAAGUUCUUGUAAAUAAUCCAUUUAGAAGAUUGCUGCAACAUUAACAUUGUUACCUACUCCAUUAAGGCUGAAAAUGUAGAUAACAUUAUCAAUUUUAACAGAUAAAUAAACUUGAAGGAGAUCAUAAUGAUCCAUUAAGGAAAGGUAGAGGGAGAAAGACUCGAGUCUUUCUCUAGUGAACCAUCAUCUAGCAAAGCUUUUAGCAUGCUCAGAAUUCCUUCAAGAAAUGCCUCUAGUCACACUCAACCUAUUCUGCUGCACACUAGCUACCCAGCAGAGCCACAACAUUUGUCCAUUUAAGUUUUGCUAAAAUAAUCUUGAGUACCGAGAAUAAUCAUAACAGGUGUGAUGUAGAACAAGAAGAGUUGAGAAGCAAAUUCUCAAAGGGGAGAAAAAAAAAUUCAAGAGAAACUAAUUUCUCAUAACUUCAUUUAAUUCUCCAUAAUAACCAUAAAAUAAACUCUAAUAAAAAUACCCAAACUACAUAGGUAUUUAUAGACUAAUCCUACUAUUAUUAGGAUUAAGAAACCCUAAAUAAGAAAAGCCUAAUCAAAUACUAAUUAGGAAUGGAAAACUA
rnacentral:misc_RNA from 1 species